UUUAGAAAAAUAGCAGACUCGAGCAACAACCCAUGUCUGCAGAGUGAUGAAGUGGCAGAGUUGGGUCUGACAGUCCAUGGUCCCCAGCUGUUCACUGAAGCACGCAGAGAAGACAAUGUGUGGGUGAUGAAGCAGACUGGUUAGCUGGUUUUUACAUGGGACCUUCUCCCUUUGAACAGAUCUUGCCCUUACAAAUGGGCACGUGAUUCCUUUCAAGUCCCUCCGCAGGGAUAUAUCUGACUGAAUUUCCUAUAGCACAUUUCAGAAGGAAGAUAUUUCCCACAGCCACCAAUUCCCUCUGUCAAGCAGUGGCAAGGAUUUCACUGGGAUUUCAACAGACUAUUUCAUGGCUAGUGGUUUGUUUGGUCAAAAAAAGCUGUCCUGUGCUAACACUGACUGUCCUAGCUGAGCCUGCAGGUCCCACCGUGAAGAGGUAUGAGUGUCACACUGUCUUUAGCAUAUUUCUCCCAAACAGGUGGUGCAAAUUCCUUUUUCUUUCAUAGAGGAUAGUGUUAGGGGAAAACACAGAUUACAACCUCUAUUCCUUAAAAUGUCUUUUAUUCAUUAUCUGCUGUUGUUAAUAGAAUCAAGCUGUUAUUAGUAAUAGCAGGUAACUAUUCACAUAACACACCGCUCAUUCAUGUUCACUUAUUAGCUGAAGGAACUGUUGGGAGGCCAACCCCAAUGUGCACACUCAGAAACAGAAGGUCAUCCUGAUGCACCACUGGCUUCUAGGUAGGUCUUUAAAAAUUCCUUCAGAGAGCACUUUGUUUUACCAGCUGUAUACAUAACUCUGUAUUCUUCACCUGCAUAUAGCAGCCACUGCCCUCCUGGGUGUGAUCCAAGUUAUACAACCUGUUGUAGAUGUUGAUGUGUGCUGGCAGCCUUGUACAGCCCUAGACUGGUGGCCUAAGUUUAUCCAUUCAUGAGAAUUCAUCAGGAUUACUUGUCUUCAAAGCUUAUUGGUCUUUGGGAACUUUCACAUAGUAUCUUCUUAGCAUAUAUCCUUCUUGUCUUUGGGCUGUGAUGUUUUCUGGCAACUAUUUCUCCAUCUCGAUCUAUAGAAGCACAUAGAACUUAAACACACAAGCUUGUAUAAUGGGUGCUUCCAUGAUACCAAGAGGGUGCUUAUGAUAGCGCUUUACUGGGGUGGUGGAAGACAUAUGUCCUUGGCAGAGUAUGUGAUAUUGUGGCAUGAGGUGGGCUCAAAUUCAUAGGGAAUAAGCUGGCUGGAUCAGUACGUGGUCACACCGACACCAUCAACUUUACAUGGAUGGAGUCAACAUUUACGUACUCCCACUGAUCUAAGAGCCUAUACGUGACACGGAGAAAGGCUCCCUGCCACAGCUCUCCUUUGUGUUUUGCAGACUGUUUGGGGUGUGCCCCUCCUCUGCUAUUCCCUGAAUCUCUCUAUCCAUAGAGAUGUAAUUCUCUUCCCAUUUUAAAGUGUGUGCUUGGGUUUGUGACCAACUGUAUGACCAAUCUUCCUGUCUCCCCUUUUGAUCAAAACUAUUCAGUUAUACCCUUUAGAGAUAUAUAAACAUGUAACAAGUUCAGGUAGACCAAUUCUGGUUCCUGAUUUUGAAGAGUAUCCAUGGACUUUUGUCCUGUCUCAGCAUUUCUGUCUUCAGGACAUUCCUUCUACCAUGUUAUGGACUUGCAUCUGGACAUAUUGAGGUUUUUCCUGGUGGUCCAGCUGUCUUAUAUAUGGAGCAAUGACCUCCUCCAAUGAUAGCUGUGUUGCAAUGCCCAGCCUGACUGCUGGUGAAGAACAGAGUUCCUUGCAGACUCUAGAAGAGUUAAGAGGAACACUGUAACUGUGUGGCACCCCGCAGCUAGAAAAUUACACCUCUGCCCUAUAUGGGAACGUAGCAGGGCGGGAUGGCUCAAGUUUUCAAACCAGGAGAGCGCUCUCUGGGAUCUUAGCCAUAUGGCAUGCUGUGCUGGUUACUGUUGAAUAGGUUCGCUUGGGGCUUUCCUAUACAUGUGGUUAAUGAGAAAGUCUACUCCUUCAGCAGGUCUCAAUUAGUCUGGCUCCUUUGUGAGCAGCACUGGCUCAGUCUGCUAGCUUCAUUGAUGGUUUUGGUUGGCUUUCCCUGGUUUCGCUCAGCCGAGUCUUGGUCUGCUGCUGCUCAAAGAGGAAAUACCUUUGCUGGCUGCACAGCAAGGGUCUCCAAAGAAGUCUGGGCUGUAGUUGGUGUGUAACUAGCAAGCCUGAAUUUAGUGCCAGACAGAAAGCCUGGAGAAAGGAGUGUUUACCAUCUUGGAUGCCCACACUGGAGGAAACAGAGGAGUUUGGUUCUGGCAAGUGUUUCUGCAGCAGCAAAAGACAGGAUGCUGUUCUGCUCUGGUUUUCCUCAAAGGCUGAGGGAUGGCCUGAGAAUCUGCCUUGUGAGCCUCACAGAAACAGGAACAGCUGAACUCUAAUCAGAGCGGGUAAGACAGAAGGUUUCUACCAUGGCCAUUUGGGUUAUAACUUCCCUAACCACACUCUGGCUUCCUUGUGCUAGAUGUGGAAUGUGAAGACUUUCCUCUACAGAACACAGCAGAAAAAUUGAGAAGGAGGAAAGCAGCAUCUGUGCCACUUUCUGGAGGAUUAGAAGACCUGUCUGGUAUCAUGCAAGAAGCCAGCGGCAGAGUGGGAACCAAAUAAAUGCAUUAAUAGUGACUCAGACCCCAGGCUGGAACAGCCCAAGGGGUAUAAAACUGCAUCAUCCUUCUGACCAGCUGAAUUCCACUGAGGGGACAUCUUGCCAGCAGAAAAUGUGGUCAUUGUAAUUGAAACACUGCCUGAAACCAGAAAUAUCAUCUUAGAGGAGAAAAACUAUUCUGGCCAUUUUGAAAUGUUCUGGUUUGGUUAUUUUCAAAAUGAAAUGUUUCUAGCUUUUGCUUGGAAAAGACUUUGCAGCUCCAUUUGUGUGCAAAGAUGAUUAUUUAUGUAUAUGGUGAUGGAAGGAGUCAAACCAAAAAGGAAGGAAGGAAAACACUGUUGAGGCUGAAAGAGAGAACUGCCUCAUGAACAAUCAACCAGAUAAGACAGCUGGGAGAACGCAGCCUUUUGUCUGUCUUCAGAUAAAUCCCAAAAGACUGGGAAGUUUUUCCUUUGAUUUCUCACCUUUCUGAAUCCAAAGCUAGUAUAAUUAUACAGAUAAUUUCUGUGGAACAAAAAUUUCCAUUUUUGAUGCUCCUCUAGUACAACCGCUUAUACUCUGCCUGCACAUGACUCAGCCUAAUUGGUGUUGGAGAGACUAGAGACAAAGAAAAAUCUCAUAAACACAGAAAAUAAAUCCCACACAGAUAUUAAAACAAAGCUAGUGCAUUGUUAGUAGUGAAUCUAAAGAGCCUUGAUAUUUCCUGAAAACUCCCAUGUGGCUGCAAUAUCUUUCACAACAUCACUCCCAGCAUGUUAUGUGGUCAUUAGUCCGAAGAACAUACUCAUUCAUUUAUGAGUUUGAGAUGGGCUUGUUAGUCAGGAGUGGCAAACUGAGUUAUGAGCUUCAUUCCCAAAAGAUUCAAUAUUUAUUGUGUGCCAUCAGAUAUCUUGAUAAUUUGAUGGCUGGACUUCUCAGAAACUUGGAGUAUUAAAAACAAAGCCUGGGGGAAAUGAACUGGAAGAUCUGGUAGGAAUGACAUGGAGGAAUAGGAGUACUGCCUCCAGAGCUAGGUGGGACCUGGUGCUGUGACUCCAGCCCUCUGUGUCCCCAUGCUGUGGCAGGGGCCAUCAUGAGAGCAGAAUUUAGAGCAGGGUAAGUACUGGCAACUACUCCUUGACCCACUGUACCUGCCUGACAAUGGUGUGAGACUUCCAGAGGAAGGCUUCAUACCAAUGGACCACCCUGCUCCAUGUCAAGUUCUCCAUCAGUGACAACUAGAGAGGCUGUUUAGGGAGGGCCUGCAAGCCUGGGGGCUAUUUGAGGUCUGAUCCACCCAGAUCUGUCUCCACAAACCUUUUGUGUUCAUGUGUGUUAGAGGGCACAUCUCCCCUUUUACCAUCUGGCUAUGGACCUUGUUUACUGUGAAUCUCUCUGAACCCUCUGCAGACCAAUUGAUCCUGUUUGCUGCCAUGACAUCCUAUGGGAACAAUUUCCAGAAGUUUAUCACCUCCUGAGUAGAAAAACAAAAGUGCUCUUCUCUGUCAAACACAUCUAAAAUUUUCCAGUUUCAUGUUUCCAGCAAUUCUUGGGGCAUUUUGAACCUCCUUAGCUCUGAACAAGGAAGCCGAGUCACAGACGAGAGCCACCAAGAUGCCUCAGCUGACAUGUUUCUUGCUCUGAGCACUCAGAGCUUGCGCUUUCAUCGGUCACUGCUGGAGAGUUGAAGGCUCUGCUUAUUAAAAUCCAGGUGUGGAACUCACUGUACCAAACUCGUAAAUCUAAAAGACAGGCAUCCAGCAACUAAUCCAGGUGUCUGUAUAUAGAAGUUACAGAGGCACCACCAGCAGAUGAUUCAUCCUUUUCUAAAACAGGUAUCUGAUUGCUGCUGUGAGUCACUGCGGGAACCGCCUUCCUGUCUCUCUUGACUCCAGAGGAUGCUUAUUUAACCAGAGUGGAUUUCAUACAUAAGUUUAAAAUUGCUGAAGUUAGUUGAAACCUGCCCUCACCAUCUUCGACCUGUGAAAAGAGACACCUGAAGUCUAAGUCAUCUUGGAAGAAUUUUGGCUGAAGGGGGAUAGUGGGCUGGUGAGUGCAGGGUAGCCUGAUGCUCUGUCACCUGCUUGAGGUGGGAAAAACAUCCUGACCUCAGUCACAGCCGUAGUCUUUCAGGGCUUUAAAAUUAAUUAUCUUGGUUUUCUAACAAUGUACUUCCCAGUGGUCAGCCAUGAAUGAUGUAUCUAAGCAUUGUUUCUUUGGGAUUCAGGGUCAGGCCCGAUCUAUUUUAGGUGAUAAAAUGGCAGUUAAAUGCAUGAUACUUGGAUCACCAGUGUUUAACUAGGCAUCUGAAAAAGACAAGGAAGAAGAGCAAUAUUAUGAUUGUGUAAAUCUCCUCCUGUUUCUGAAUGUUAAAAAUCACAUAGCAGGUGCCACUAGAAUUGGGUGAUUAGCUUAGAAACCAUUAAUUUUAUAUAUCUGCGUAAAUGUGUCAGAAUGUGAAACUUUUCUGUAGAUGAAGGGACAAAUAUUUAUGAUCAUUUUGCCAAAAUGACAAUUUCGCUUAGUCAGCUUAUAAAGUGACUGAAGGUCACAGGCAUUUUCAAAAGUGAUAGGCAUUUCUUCACUUUGAGUGCUAAAGACCAGGGUUUUUUAAAAAGCUAUUUUAGGAGAACUGAAAAAAAAAAAAAUGUAAAACAAGCAGAUGUGUUUGUUACAAAGCCCAAUUGGCAUAUAACAGCUGCCAUCACUACAGUCUCCAUUAUGAAAUACUAUUUUUUCUGCAAAGUGCUCUAUCUUUCCAUCCAGUUUAAAAAGCAAUAAAGGACAUAGUUUUACACGUUGCUUUUUAGUUAAGAAUUCCAAGUAAGUGAGGAGUUGAUUGUUUUCAUGUAAUGACAAUUCCAAUAUGCAGUUACAAAAUUACCAGAUUGUAACACAGCAAACAUUUGUGUACGAAAAUCAGACUUUUUUUUUUAAAGCCUCUAUCCCAAAUCUAACUCUGCUGCUUUAUGAUUAAUACUUGUGUUUAUAUAUAUAUAUAUACACAUACACAUAUUUGAGUGUAACCACAUGCAUAUGGUAUUACAAUUUUUUGUCUCCUGGAUUUUUGUAUACUGUCUUUUCAAAGUUAAAACGAGAGCUUAUUUUUAAAGGAAA